rnacentral:rRNA from 1 species
CAUGCAAGUCGAGCGAUGAAACUACUUCGGUAGUGAAUUAGCGGCGAACGGGUGAGGAACACGUGAGGAAUCUGCCUUCUACACUGGGAUAACUCCGGGAAACCGGGGCUAAUACCGGAUAUGAAACUUGGUGGCAUCACCGAGUUUGGAAAGUUUUUCGGUAGAAGAUGACCUCGCGGCCUAUCAGCUUGUUGGUGAGGUAAUGGCUCACCAAGGCGACGACGGGUAGCCGGCCUGAGAGGGCGACCGGCCACACUGGGACUGAGACACGGCCCAGACUCCUACGGGAGGCAGCAGUGGGGAAUAUUGGGCAAUGGAGGAAACUCUGACCCAGCGACGCCGCGUGCGGGAUGAAGGCCUUCGGGUUGUAAACCGCUUUCAGUAGGGAAGAAGCGAAAGUGACGGUACCUACAGAAGAAGCACCGGCUAACUAUGUGCCAGCAGCCGCGGUAAUACAUAGGGUGCAAGCGUUGUCCGGAAUUAUUGGGCGUAAAGAGCUCGUAGGUGGUUCGUUACGUCGGAUGUGAAAAUCUGGGGCUCAACCCCAGACCUGCAUCCGAUACGGUCGAGCUAGAGUUUGGUAGGGGAGACUGGAAUUCCUGGUGUAGCGGUGGAAUGCGCAGAUAUCAGGAGGAACACCAAUGGCGAAGGCAGGUCUCUGGGCCAAUACUGACACUGAGGAGCGAAAGCGUGGGGAGCGAACAGGAUUACAUACCCUGGUAGUCCACGCCGUAAACGGUGGGCGCUAGUUGUGGGAACCUUCCCACGGUUUCUGCGACGCAGCUAACGCAUUAUGCGCCCCGCCUGGGGAGUACGAUCGCCAGAUUAAACUCAAAGGAAUUGACGG